rnacentral:rRNA from 1 species
UCAGUACCGUGAGGGAAAGGCGAAAAGAACCCCGGGAGGGGAGUGAAAUAGAUCCUGAAACCGCAUGCUUACAAAAAGUCGGAGCCCUUUGGGGUGACGGCGUACCUUUUGUAUAAUGGGUCAGCGACUUACAUUCAGUGGCAAGCUUAACCGAGUAGGGAAGGCGCAGGGAAACCGAGUCCGAACAGGGCGAUUUCAGUCGCUGGGUGUAGACCCGAAACCAGGUGAUCUAUCCAUGGCCAGGAUGAAGGUGCCGUAACAGGUACUGGAGGUCCGAACCCACUACUGUUGCAAAAGUAGGGGAUGAGCUGUGGAUAGGGGUGAAAGGCUAAACAAACCUGGAAAUAGCUGGUUCUCUCCGAAAACUAUUUAGGUAGUGCCUCAAGUAUCACCAUCGGGGGUAGAGCACUGUUAUGGCUAGGGGGUCAUCGCGACUUACCAAACCAUUGCAAACUCCGAAUACCGAUGAGUGCGAGCUUGGGAGACAGACGUCGGGUGCUAACGUCCGGCGUCAAGAGGGAAACAACCCAGACCGCCAGCUAAG